GACGAACGCUGGCGGCGUGCUUAACACAUGCAAGUCGAACGAAGAGCGAUGGAAGCUUGCUUCUAUCAAUCUUAGUGGCGAACGGGUGAGUAACGCGUAAUCAACCUGCCCUUCAGAGGGGGACAACAGUUGGAAACGACUGCUAAUACCGCAUACGAUCCGACCUCGGCAUCGAGGAUUGAUGAAAGGUUGUCUCUAUUUAUAAGCUAUCACUGAAGGAGGGUAUUGCGCCUGAUUAGCUAGUUGGGGGGGUAACGGCCCACCAAGGCAAUGAUUAGUAGCCGACCUGAGAGGUUGACCGGCCACAUUGGAACUGAGACACGGCCCAGACUCCUACGGGAGGCAGCAGUGGGGAAUCUUCCGCAAUGGGCGAAAGCUUGACGGAGCAACGCCGCGUGAGUGAUGAAGGCCUUCGGAUGGUAAAACUCUGUAAUCGGGACGAAAGGUAUUCUUGCGAAUAGUUAGAAGAAUUGACGGUACCGAAAUAGAAAGCCACGGCUAACUACGUG
rnacentral:rRNA from 1 species